AUCUGUUUGCAGUUCAUCAGCGUGAGCAUUGGGUUUUCACACUCAUGUGUGGGAUGUGCCUCCCUCAAACCUUGUAAGGUCUGCCUGUUACCAGCCCAAUG